ACUCAAUAGAUACCCUGGUAGUCCAUGCCGUAAACGUUGGGAACUAGGUGUGGGUCUCAUUCCACGAGAUCCGUGCCGCAGCUCACGCAUUAAGUUCCCCGCCUGGGGAGUACGGCCGCAAGGCUAAAACUCAAAGGAAUUGACGGGGGCCCGCACAAGCGGCGGAGCAUGCGGAUUAAUUCGAUGCAACGCGAAGAACCUUACCAAGGCUUGACAUACACCGGAAUCACUCAGAGAUGGGUGCGUCUUCGGACUGGUGUACAGGUGGUGCAUGGUUGUCGUCAGCUCGUGUCGUGAGAUGUUGGGUUAAGUCCCGCAACGAGCGCAACCCUCGUUCUAUGUUGCCAGCACGUGAUGGUGGGGACUCAUAGGAGACUGCCGGGGUCAACUCGGAGGAAGUGGGGAUGACGUCAAAUCAUCAUGCCCCUUAUGUCUUGGGCUUCACGCAUGCUACAAUGGCCGGUACAAAGGGCUGCGAAACCGCGAGGUGGAGCGAAUCCCAAAAAACCGGUCUCAGUUCGGAUUGGGGU
rnacentral:rRNA from 1 species